rnacentral:rRNA from 1 species
GUAGGUGGCAAGCGUCGUCCGGGAAUUAUUGGGGCGUAAAGCGCGCGCAGGCGGUUCUUUAAGUCUGAUGUGAAAGCCCACGGGCUCAACCGUGGAGGGUCAUUGGAAACUGGAGAACUUGAGUACAGAAGAGGAAAGCGGAAUUCCACGUGUAGCGGUGAGAUGCGUAGAGAUGUGGAGGAACACCAGUGGCGAAGGCGGCUUUCUGGUCUGUAACUGACGCUGAGGCGCGAAAGCGUGGGGAGCAAACAGGAUUAGAUACCCUGGUAGUCCACGCCGUAAACGAUGAGUGCUAAGUGUUGGGGGGUUUCCGCCCCUUAGUGCUGCAGCUAACGCAUUAAGCACUCCGCCUGGGGAGUACGGCCGCAAAGGCUG